UGGAAAAGGGAGGAUCCAGCGUCAAAAGGAAUGAAUAUGUUAAUUGAUUUUACAUCCUGAAAUUGAUCCAAUUGGUUAGCAUACAGUGUAACUUGGCGAAUUAGCUUCUUUGUUCAUGCCAGAAUCAUAAAUCUACUGGCUGUCCUUUACUAAUUGGUAAAGGGCAGUGGUGGUUAUCUUAAGCACAGACAUGCGUCAGAGGUUGCAUCAUAAGGCAAUCCCACUCGGGAAUUCAUAAUAUCUUAUUAGCAGGGAGAAGGUUAAAGCUGCGUAUAUCAACUUUUUUCUAUGCCGAUAAAUGUGGAAUGCUCUGUGAAGGCUAAGGUUACGUUUUCGGUUAUGCAUUAUAUGAGUAUGUUUGUUGUUAUUGUUCAAUUGGAGAAAUAGAUACUGAAUUUUUUUUU